rnacentral:rRNA from 1 species
ACAAGCGGUGGAUGAUGUGGUUAAUUCGAUGCAACGCGAAAACCUUACCACCUUUGACAUGGCAGGAAGUUACCAGAGAUGGUUUCGUGCUCGAAAGAGAACCUGCACACAGGUGCUGCAUGGCUGUCGUCAGCUCGUGUCGUGAGAUGUGGGUUAAGUCCCGCAACGAGCGCAACCCUUGCCAUCAGUUGCUACGAAAGGGCACUCUGAUGGGACUGCCGGUGACAAACCGGAGGAAGGUGGGGAUGACGUCAAGUCCUCAUGGCCCUUAUAGGUGGGGCUACACACGUCAUACAAUGGCCGGUACAAAGGGCAGCCAACCCGCGAGGGGGAGCCAAUCCCAUAAAGCCGGUCGUAGUCCGGAUCGCAGUCUGCAACUCGACUGCGUGAAGUCGGAAUCGCUAGUAAUCGUGGAUCAGCAUGUCACGGUGAAUACGUUCCCGGGUCUU